rnacentral:rRNA from 1 species
UACGGAGGGUGCGAGCGUUGUCCGGAUUUAUUGGGGUUAAAGGGUGCGCAGGUGGCCCGGGCAGUCAGUGGUGAAAUGCGGCCGCUCAACGGUCGAACUGCCAUUGAUACUGCCGGGCUUGAGGGGAGUGGAGGCCGCCGGAACGGACGGUGUAGCGGUGAAAUGCAUAAAUAUCGUCCAGAACGCCGAUUGUGAAGGCAGGUGGCUACGCUUCAACUGACACUGAGGCACGAAAGCGUGGGGAGCGAACAGG